rnacentral:rRNA from 1 species
CCUACGGGCGGCUGCAGUGGGGAAUAUUGCACAAUGGGCGAAAGCCUGAUGCAGCAACGCCGCGUGAAGGAAGACGGUUUUCGGAUUGUAAACCUCUAUCAACAGGGAAGAAAGAAACGACGGUAGCUAAAUAAGCAGCCGCGGCCAACUACGCGCCAGCAGCCGCGGUAAUACGUAGGGGGCAAGUGUUAUCCGGAAUUACUGGGUGUAAAGGGAGAGUAGGCGGCAAGGUAAGCGUUAAGUGAAAGCCUUAGGCUUAACCAAAGGAUUGUAUAACGAACUGUCUAGCUGGAGUGCAGGAGAGGAAAGCGGAAUUCCUAGUGUAGCGGUGAAAUGCGUAGAUAUUAGGAAGAACACCAGUGGCGAAGGCGGCUUUCUGGACUGAAACUGACGCUGAGGCUCGAAAGCGUGGGGAGCGAACAGGAUUAGAUACCCUUGUAGUC